AAAUCUGCUGUGUUGGUGUAAUGUACUCAGGUGAAUAAGAUGUUAACAUCUUAUUCACCUGAGUACAUUACACCAACACAGCAGAUUUCAUGAUUAUUA
rnacentral:miRNA from 1 species